AGGUGGAUGUGCACUGCUGGGGGUUACCCCAGUGUGGCCACGUCAGCCAUCCCACCGUGCCUGCACCAGAGAAACGGUACUGCUGGCCCGGGAAGGCAGGUCAGGACCCAGGCGGGAACCACAAAAGAAGCCACGCGUUUUUGCAGGUUGUCUCCUGAAUGGCUUAAAGUUGCUGUCCAAUUUCGGCAGCUGCGUUGUGUAGAGAUGCCCAGAUCAGCCUUCAGCAAGCUGUGGCCUCUCUAUGGCAGCAAAGAGCAAGGCUGAUCUAGCUACCCAGCUCCAGCCACCAGGGUAUCGCAGUGGCAGAUCAAAAUAUUCAUGUUCACUCCUCUUGCCCACCAGGAACACACUAAAGGAUAUAUGCCUGGUAAAAGGGAGGAACACAGGAACUGAAGAUCAUAAAUACACAUUUAAUGCAUAACUGGCAAGGGUUCUUUAUAUGCUGUACUGAAGGCUCUCAGAAAAAUACAGCAUUCACAACUGUAUAGCAACCUGUAUUUGUGUGUGCGUGUGCAUAUAUAUAUAUACACACAUAUAUAUAAAUACUUUUAUGUAUAUAAUACUUAGAAACACUUACUUAGAAUACUUCUGCUAAUUACGAGUGUCUAUUCAUGUUUUACUUUUAAUAGGGAUCUUAAAUUUCACUGAAGCAUACAGUUUACAACUUUGUUCAAACCACUGAUACUAGGGGGAAAUCCACUCAAUCACUCUGUUGAAGAAAAUGUUAAAACAAAUCAAAAAUAAUUCAUUUUAUAAUUAACUGAUACAAGCACUUUAAAAAUCUAGCUGCUGUAGAAGGCUGUUUAAUGACACACAGCUUCUGGAUAUUUCUGAGGCUUUCCCAUCUGUUUUCUGAAAGUAAAAACCACUUGUAAAAUAAUGGAAAUAAUCAGAAAGAUUCAUUUAGUUUUUUAAUAAACUGAGGGCCAAAACAAUGUCGAUAAUCAGAUGAUGUGCAGCAAAGAAUAGCUUGUGGUAAAAGUUUUUCCUUUUUUUCUGCUAAGGAGAUUACAAGGUUAUCAUUUGUAAAAUAAGCAUAUUCCUGAUAAUUAAAUUAAGAACAUCAUCUGCAUAAGCUAAUACCAAUCACAGAAGAGAAAAAGAGAGUGAGAAAGAGAGAGGGAUGCUGAGUUUCACACAUAAUUUGUUUCUGGCUACUUAGCAGGGUCAUGACAGACAUUUGCUAAGUAGAGAGCAAACAUUUACUAUUUAGCUCGCCUAUCCAGCUAACGCCUAUGAGCCUCUAUUAGCAAAAGCUGCCUCUCUUGGCACAGUGGAUUGUUUGUUGUGAAAAACUUUUAUUGAGAUAGCUUUAAAGGAUCUUUUGUUGGCAAUUUGAAGAUGUAUCAGCACUGAUUAAGUAACAAAUGUACAGUUACAGUUUUAUAUUUGCAGUAUACUUCAUCCUGCAAGCCUGAUUCAGGUCUACUGAAGUGAGGAGGGAAUUUUCCUUUGGCUUCAGUGGUUUGAAGCCAAGCCCUAAAUAUAGGAAAGAAGUAUACCCAGCAUGUCACCCAGAUAUAUAUAUAUCUGUUUCAGUACAACAAAGCUGUACUCUGACUGUCUUCAUAGAGUUUGAAAAAUCUUCCCUGCGCCACAUGCCCCCCAAAUGCCAAGGCUAUGGGAGGUCCCUGUUCUCCCAGGAACAACAACAUUGCCCAGGCAGCUGUCCCAGAGCUGCAACCUGUGCCCAAGGCAAGCCCUGUGGCAAAAUGAGCCUUUCGUCCCAGAGGAACCAGGGAGCUCAGUGCUGGGACUAAUGGCUCCACACCCCACUCAUGCCUGGGCCUGAAACUGGCAAUGUCAGCUGAGUUAACUCAACAAGGAAUCUUGUAUUAGGGAGACAUUAAUGCAAUUUUGCUAAAUGUCAGCCCAAAAGAAUAGCAGCCAAAACAAAGUGGGAGGAAUGCUGUGUCAUGGCAUGGGUUGCAAACUGGCAAAGCACGCUGAAAACAACAAAGCAAUUUCACUAAAAUUUAGCUGGAAUGUAUUCCUGGGCAGGAGAAGGGAAAGGGAGACUUGGAUGGGAAAUGGCUGUAUGGAAACCUAUCUUGUCUCAGGUAAAGCACUUUCUUGUCAUCCAUUAAAAUACUUUUUAAAAAUUAGAGAAUAAAGUGGGAGAUUCUCUCAUUUUUGUAUCUGUUAAAAGAAAAUACAAUGAAUGGCCACUUCCAUAGUUAAAACAUUAUUUAUAUGGAGCUUUUAGACCAAACUGACAAUUUCUUACUACAAUUUCUUACUACAGGGAGAUGAGUUGGUGAAUUGCUACUGUACAUUUUGCCAAUUUGGUCUAAAAGCUCCAUAUAAAUAUGUUUUGACUAUGGAAGUGGCCAUCCAUUGUGAUGGCUUUCCAUUCCAUCCAUUGCAUUUUCUUUCAAUUUUUACCCUGGAGUAAAUACCACAAGGUAAUUAACCACAGGUUAUUUACCUAUGAUAUAUACCGAAGGUUAUCAGAGUUCCAGUGAGCUCUGAUAUGCACUCAUUGAACUUUAACUGGGAUAUUAAAUGCCAUGGCUCUGGAUUUAUCAAAUGUCUAACUCUGAUACCUCAGCGUGAGACCCAAUGGAAAGCAGGGAAAUCAUGAGUUUAUGUCCUACGUUACAAAAGCCUCUGUUUAACACAGCAAUCUUAAAGCCUAAAAUCUGUUAAUCCAUGAGGUAGGGAGCUGGCAUUAGGUAGUCUGACCAAUACAGCACCUAUCUGGAAAGAUAGGGCCAACUCGGCACAUCAGACAGUAUCUCAAAUGCUAUGGCAUUUUUGCCAAGACUUCCAAAAAGUAAUGAUGGUUACUUUCACUUCUGAAUAAGGACAUGCUUACUGCUUUUUGAGUUGUGACACUAAGAAAUUUCAUAUAGACCCUAAAACAGUUUUUGAAUGAUAACGACAUUUUGUCACCCCUUGUAUGGACUGAAAUUGAAUCUGUAAGUAAAAGAUAAUUAAAUACAAGGAUAUAGUAACUGAAAUUCAUGGGACUCGUGUCAUAACUGACCACAUCACAUCUCCUUCAAUCUGCAGGAUAACCUCAGCUCCUCUUGGUUUCACAGAGGGCUGAGGGCACUCAGCACCGUGGCAAAGCAACCACGCUGCCCUUGGUGGGUUUCAAAUCUGGCUGCUGUGAACAAAUGCCAGCCCUGAGCCCUGGCUGUUCCUAGGGUAACGCAGCAAGGUCUGUGGUGAUAGAUGGCUUAUUCUUUGAAGACUCCCAACAGCUGCAGGUAGCCGUGAAGAGCUGCAGAAUGAGGACAUUUUCACUGUUUCCCCCAGCUUCCAUGUGGUCAACCCCAACACAUCCUGCAUGCCCAGAGCCGGGC